rnacentral:lncRNA from 10 species
UGUCAACACUCAUGCCAGGAUUAUACAGACACUGGGACAACCUCCUCCCACAACCAGCCUCCUUCCUUGAGGUGACCUAGGGGAAAUGAAGGCAUUCGUGACAAUACUUUCCAUCACACCAGAAGAGAUGAGAGUUUAAACACCAUUAGACUGAGAAGAGAAACUCGGGGGGCUUUUAACUUCAGUCCAACCAGGGAACCACACUGUGGUAGAAAUAGAACUUGCUUCAAACUUCCUGGCUUUGAAUCCCAGUUCUGCACCUGACUUGUGAGUCAGCACUGACAAUGUAAUGAUUUCAGCCUGUUUUGGCCGAAGACUCCAAAACAGUAAGUGCCCAUCACUCCCACAUACCGAAGUGAAAUACUAGACUGCCUAUGCAGGAUUUGAGAACGGAAGAUUGAGAGACAAAAGCACUUAGGAAAGAAAAGAAAUUUACUCUCAAAAGAGCUCAAGGGAGUUAAACUUCAGACAGCUUGGCUUACAAAUAAAUAAAUAAGUAAAUAAAUAAAUAAAUAAAUACAUAAAUAAGUCUAUGAUAGCUAUUUAAAGGGAAAAUCCCUUAACAUUAGCAAGGUUAGCUAGUUUACAUUAGCCUGUUCUGGUGGAUUUUCUCAUAUGUUUAUCAUAUCCUCAAAAGUCAUGACAUAUGGUCAGAUAUCGGUACUACAAAAGCCAGGAUAAAGGUUUUUGUUAGAGUCAGGUAAGAAUCAAAUAACACCCCCAACCCCAUCAGGAAAGGAAGGAGUUACAGAGGCCGGAGACCUAGCUUUACUGGAGAAGCUAAAGGCUUGCUAAUUUCGGACACAAGAAGCAGAAAUGGUGAGUUUAUUAUUUGUGGUUUAUCUCCCAGUGCAACUUGGUUUUAUUUUGUUUUCCUCCCUGGUUGUGAAAAAUGGUGUUCAGAUUAUUCAUGUUAAAUAAAAAUUAUAGGAGGCCACUGUUUUGGACUAAGCUCUUGCACCAGGCCCCAACAGAUCAGACUAAAAACCAAAAUGGAGUCACCCAUGCUAAAGUCCCACAUCACCAAGGUGAAACCGAGUUGUCAUCUGGCCUUCCAAGAAAUCAGGAGAGAAAGAUAAUAGCCAAAUUGCUGAGCCAAAGUGGACCACAGCAGUGUUGCUCCCACUGUAGGUCCUUGGCUGGGGAAAGGGAGAUGCUUUAUGAUUAAAGUUUAGGGAUUUUUUUGGUUUUGCAUAGCAUUGGACAUAUUAAUUAUUGAUGUGAGACUAUUCUGAGGAUGAAAGUAACUGGGAACUUUUUUUUUUUUUGAGACG